rnacentral:rRNA from 1 species
UGCAGUCGAACGAUGAACCUCACUUGUGGGGGGAUUAGUGGCGAACGGGUGAGUAACACGUGAGUAACCUGCCCUUAACUCUGGGAUAAGCCUGGGAAACUGGGUCUAAUACCGGAUAUGACUCCUCAUCGCAUGGUGGGGGGUGGAAAGCUUUUUGUGGUUUUGGAUGGACUCGCGGCCUAUCAGCUUGUUGGUGAGGUAAUGGCUUACCAAGGCGACGACGGGUAGCCGGCCUGAGAGGGUGACCGGCCACACUGGGACUGAGACACGGCCCAGACUCCUACGGGAGGCAGCAGUGGGGAAUAUUGCACAAUGGGCGCAAGCCUGAUGCAGCGACGCCGCGUGAGGGAUGACGGCCUUCGGGUUGUAAACCUCUUUCAGUAGGGAAGAAGCGAAAGUGACGGUACCUGCAGAAGAAGCGCCGGCUAACUACGUGCCAGCAGCCGCGGUAAUACGUAGGGCGCAAGCGUUAUCCGGAAUUAUUGGGCGUAAAGAGCUCGUAGGCGGUUUGUCGCGUCUGCCGUGAAAGUCCGGGGCUCAACUCCGGAUCUGCGGUGGGUACGGGCAGACUAGAGUGAUGUAGGGGAGACUGGAAUUCCUGGUGUAGCGGUGAAAUGCGCAGAUAUCAGGAGGAACACCGAUGGCGAAGGCAGGUCUCUGGGCAUUAACUGACGCUGAGGAGCGAAAGCAUGGGGAGCGAACAGGAUUAGAUACCCUGGUAGUCCAUGCCGUAAACGUUGGGCACUAGGUGUGGGGGACAUUCCACGUUUUCCGCGCCGUAGCUAACGCAUUAAGUGCCCCGCCUGGGGAGUACGGGCCGCAAGGCUAAAACUCUAACCUACCUGUGUCAACUUCUGCCGGUACCGCGCUUCCGUACUUCGUUAGCCCCCAACCGGACCCUUCAGGGGUACCGGGCACAAGUUAGAGUGGCCCCAAAAUGGGAAAAAAAGUAAAAAGGGCCACAAUUAGCGAGGUCCGG